rnacentral:rRNA from 1 species
UGGGGAAUCUUGCGCAAUGGGGGAAACCCUGACGCAGCGACGCCGCGUGCGGGAUGAAGGCCUUCGGGUUGUAAACCGCUUUCAGCAGGGACGAGGCCUUAUGGUGACGGUACCUGCAGAAGAAGCUCCGGCUAAAUACGUGCCAGCAGCCGCGGUAAUACGUAUGGAGCAAGCGUUAUCCGGAUUCAUUGGGCGUAAAGCGCUCGUAGGCGGUCUGUUAGGUCGGCAAGUUAAAUCCGGGGGCUCAACCCCCGUCCGCUUCCGAUACCGGCAGACUUGAGUUUGGUAGGGGAAGGUGGAAUUCCUAGUGUAGCGGUGGAAUGCGCAGAUAUUUGGAAGAACACCGGUGGCGAAGGCGGCCUUCUGGGCCACGACUGACGCUGAGGCGCGAAAGCUAGGGGAGCGAACAGG